rnacentral:lncRNA from 1 species
GAAGAAGUAGAGGACAGGUCAGGAGGAGGGAACAAGAAGCUUCAUUUAUCAUUGAUGUUAUGUGUGAUUAAUAAAAACUUGUGCUUCUCAUCUAAUUUGUUGUGCACUUGUAGAACUAUUUUGUUGUGCACUUGUUGGGCCUGAAAUCUUUAUGCGUAGAGGAGUCGAUGGAUGAUGUAUUGUAAUUCAUGUGAUGUGUUACUGAAAUGAAA